rnacentral:misc_RNA from 1 species
GCAAACUUGGUCAUUUAGAGGAAGUAAAAGUCGUAACAAGGUUUCCGUAGGUGAACCUGCGGAAGGAUCAUUAUUGAACAAACCGGCGGGCUAAGUUGCUGGCCUCCUCGGAGGCAUGUGCACGGUCCGCCAUUGUUUCAUCCUUCUUCCACCUGUGCACUUCUGUGGGCCCACUCCAGCGUGCACACCGCGUGCUGGAAUCUGGUGCCUACGUUUUCACUAUCCACACCAUUGAAUGUUCAGAAUGUAUGUAUCAGGCAUUCGUGCCUAUAAAACCUUAUACAACUUUCAACAACGGAUCUCUUGGCUCUCGCAUCGAUGAAGAACGCAGC